CACUUGCCCCUUACUGACCUGGGCUACACACGUGCUACAAUGGUUGGUACAACGAGUUGCGAGUCGGUGACGGCGAGCUAAUCUCUUAAAGCCAAUCUCAGUUCGGAUUGUAGGCUGCAACUCGCCUACAUGAAGUCGGAAUCGCUAGUAAUCGCGGAUCAGCACGCCGCGGUGAAUACGUUCCCGGGCCGUU
rnacentral:rRNA from 1 species